AGAGUUUGAUCCUGGCUCAGGACGAACGCUGGCGGCAUGCCUAAUACAUGCAAGUCGAACGAACCAUCCUGAUGAUUGAAGCUUGCUUCAUGAUUCAGACCUUGGUGAGUGGCGGACGGGUGAGUAACACGUGGGUAACCUGCCCAGAAGUGGGGGAUAACAUUUGGAAACAAGUGCUAAUACCGCAUAACAACUUAGAUCACAUGAUCUUUGUUUAAAAGAUGGUUUUGCUAUCUCUUCUGGAUGGACCCGCGGCGUAUUAGCUAGUUGGUGAGGUAAUAGCUCACCAAGGCGAUGAUACGUAGCCGACCUGAGAGGGUAAUCGGCCACAUUGGGACUGAGACACGGCCCAAACUCCUACGGGAGGCAGCAGUAGGGAAUCUUCCACAAUGGACGAAAGUCUGAUGGAGCAAUGCCGCGUGAGUGAAGAAGGUUUUCGGAUCGUAAAACUCUGUUGUUGAAGAAGAAUAUAUGUGAGAGUAACUGUUCACGUACUGACGGUAUUCAACCAGAAAGCCACGGCUAACUACGUGCCAGCAGCCGCGGUAAUACGUAGGUGGCAAGCGUUGUCCGGAUUUAUUGGGCGUAAAGAGAAUGUAGGCGGUUUAUUAAGUUUGAAGUGAAAGCCCUCGGCUCAACCGAGGAAGUGCUUCGAAAACUGGUAAACUUGAGUGCAGAAGAGGAAAGUGGAACUCCAUGUGUAGCGGUGGAAUGCGUAGAUAUAUGGAAGAACACCAGUGGCGAAGGCGGCUUUCUGGUCUGUAACUGACGCUGAGAUUCGAAAGCAUGGGUAGCAAACAGGAUUAGAUACCCUGGUAGUCCAUGCCGUAAACGAUGAGUGCUAAGUGUUGGAGGGUUUCCGCCCUUCAGUGCUGCAGCUAACGCAUUAAGCACUCCGCCUGGGGAGUACGAUCGCAAGAUUGAAACUCAAAGGAAUUGACGGGGGCCCGCACAAGCGGUGGAGCAUGUGGUUUAAUUCGAAGCAACGCGAAGAACCUUACCAGGUCUUGACAUACCAUGAAAAGCUUAGAGAUAAGUCUUUCCCUUCGGGGACAUGGAUACAGGUGGUGCAUGGUUGUCGUCAGCUCGUGUCGUGAGAUGUUGGGUUAAGUCCCGCAACGAGCGCAACCCUUAUUAUCAGUUGCCAGCAUUCAGUUGGGCACUCUGGUGAGACUGCCGGUGAUAAACCGGAGGAAGGUGGGGACGACGUCAAAUCAUCAUGCCCCUUAUGACCUGGGCUACACACGUGCUACAAUGGUCGGUACAACGUGCUGCGAACUCGCGAGGGCAAGCAAAUCACUUAAAACCGAUCUCAGUUCGGAUUGUAGGCUGCAACUCGCCUACAUGAAGCUGGAAUCGCUAGUAAUCGCGGAUCAGCAUGCCGCGGUGAAUACGUUCCCGGGCCUUGUACACACCGCCCGUCACACCAUGAGAGUUUGUAACACCCAAAGUCGGUGGGGUAACCCUUCGGGGAACUAGCCGCCUAAGGUGGGACAAAUGAUUAGGGUGAAGUCGUAACAAGGUAGCCGUAGGAGAACCUGCGGCUG
rnacentral:rRNA from 1 species